UUUCUGCCUUGUUCGAUACAAUAUAGUUUUUUAUAAUCCAACACAUCAUAUUAGGGAAAUUAGCUCCGGCUGUGGAUUGCAGACCUCCCUGCUCGUUUUGAGAGGAAGAAGGGAGCGUGAAGCACUCGGGCGGUUACCCACCUGCUUCGUGCGGGUUUUAUGCGCUAUAUGAACGGCAAGGCGGAUUUU
rnacentral:other from 1 species